rnacentral:rRNA from 1 species
AUUGAACGCUGGCGGCAGGCCUAACACAUGCAAGUCGAGCGGAUGAGUGGAGCUUGCUCCAUGAUUCAGCGGCGGACGGGUGAGUAAUGCCUAGGAAUCUGCCUGGUAGUGGGGGACAACGUUUCGAAAGGAACGCUAAUACCGCAUACGUCCUACGGGAGAAAGCAGGGGACCUUCGGGCCUUGCGCUAUCAGAUGAGCCUAGGUCGGAUUAGCUAGUUGGUGGGGUAAAGGCCUACCAAGGCGACGAUCCGUAACUGGUCUGAGAGGAUGAUCAGUAACACUGGAACUGAGACACGGUCCAGACUCCUACGGGAGGCAGCAGUGGGGAAUAUUGGACAAUGGGCGAAAGCCUGAUCCAGCCAUGCCGCGUGUGUGAAGAAGGUCUUCGGAUUGUAAAGCACUUUAAGUUGGGAGGAAGGGCAGUAAAUUAAUACCUUGCUGUUUUGACGUUACCAACAGAAUAAGCACCGGCUAACUUCGUGCCAGCCGCCGCCGUAACAC